rnacentral:rRNA from 1 species
GACGAACGCUGGCGGCGUGCUUAACACAUGCAAGUCGAACGGAAAGGCCCUGCUUUUGUGGGGUGCUCGAGUGGCGAACGGGUGAGUAACACGUGAGUAACCUGCCCUUGACUUUGGGAUAACUUCAGGAAACUGGGGCUAAUACCGGAUAGGAGCUCCUGCUGCAUGGUGGGGGUUGGAAAGUUUCGGCGGUUGGGGAUGGACUCGCGGCUUAUCAGCUUGUUGGUGGGGUAGUGGCUUACCAAGGCUUGGACGGGUAGCCGGCCUGAGAGGGUGACCGGCCACAUGGGGACUGAGAUACGGCCCAGACUCCUACGGGAGGCAGCAGUGGGGAAUAUUGCACAAUGGGCGGAAGCCUGAUGCAGCAACGCCGCGUGCGGGAUGACGGCCUUCGGGUUGUAAACCGCUUUCGCCUGUGACGAAGCGUGAGUGACGGUAAUGGGUAAAGAAGCACCGGCUAACUACGUG